CGACAACAACACACACAUAUCGGCACGUGCGCCGGGGUGCCUUGCAGGAUACGUCUUCGGACAAAUGCCUUGCUGGGUCGGCUCAUGGGAUAUGUGGAGGCUUAAC
rnacentral:sRNA from 1 species